GAUGAAGAACGUAGCGAAAUGCGAUAAGUAGUGUGAAUUGCAGAAUUCCGUGAAUCAUCGAAUCUUUGAACGCACAUUGCGCCUCCUGGUACUCCGGGAGGCAUGCCUGUCCGAGCGUCAUUUCAACCCUCAAGCACGGCUUGGUGUUGGCGGAUUGCGUGCCCUAGCGGCGCUGCACCCGCCCAAAUACAGUGGCGGUCCCGCUGCGGCUCCCUUUGCGUAGUAACUCACCUCGCACUGGACCGGGCGGCGGCUCGCCGUAAAACCCCAACUCACGAAAUGUUGACCUCGGAUCAGGUAGGAAUACCCGCUGAACUUAAGCAUAUCAAUAAGCGGAGGA
rnacentral:misc_RNA from 1 species